AGUGAACGCUGGCGGCAGGCCUAACACAUGCAAGUCGAACGGCAGCACAGCCCCGCAAGGGGUGGGUGGCGAGUGGCGGACGGGUGAGGAAUACAUCGGAAUCUACCUUGUCGUGGGGGGUAACGUAGGGAAACUUACGCUAAUACCGCAUACGAACCAUGGUUGAAAGCGGCGGACCGCAAGGCGUCGCGCGAUUGGAU
rnacentral:rRNA from 1 species